rnacentral:tRNA from 1 species
GGUGAGAUAGCUGAGAGGCUGAAAGCGCUCCCCUGCUAAGAGAGUAUGUGGUUUGUAGCUUCAUCGAGGGUUCGAAUCCUUCUCUCACCGCCA